rnacentral:rRNA from 1 species
AGUGAAGCGGCAAAAGCUCAAAUUUGAAAUCUGGCGCCUUCGGUGUCCGAGUUGUAAUUUGAAGAUUGUAACCUUGGGGUUGGCUCUUGUCUAUGUUUCUUGGAACAGGACGUCACAGAGGGUGAGAAUCCCGUGCGAUGAGAUGCCCAAUCCUAUGUAAGGUGCUUUCGAAGAGUCGAGUUGUUUGGGAAUGCAGCUCUAAGUGGGUGGUAAAUUCCAUCUAAAGCUAAAUAUUGGCGAGAGACCGAUAGCGAACAAGUACAGUGAUGGAAAGAUGAAAAGAACUUUGAAAAGAGAGUGAAAAAGUACGUGAAAUUGUUGAAAGGGAAGGGUUUGAGAUCAGACUCGAUAUUUUGUGAGCCUUGCCUUCGUGGCGGGGUGACCCGCAGCUUAUCGGGCCAGCAUCGGUUUGGGCGGUAGGAUAAUGGCGUAGGAAUGUGACUUUACUUCGGUGAAGUGUUAUAGCCUGCGUUGAUGCUGCCUGCCUAGACCGAGGACUGCGAUUUUAUCAAGGAUGCUGGCAUAAUGAUCCCAAACCGCCCGUCUUGA